rnacentral:lncRNA from 1 species
UGUAGUCUUAGAGAGUUUCCUGGGGCACUGAAAGGCUAAGUGACUUACCUUGUUGUUCAUCCUCCAUUUUUAAAGAUCAAUGGCAUCACAAGGAAUGGUGUCUUGACUUGCACAGGAAUUGAGAGUUACACAAAGUCAUCAGCCCCAUUCUCUCUUUUCCAGAAUCAUUGAAGUCCAGAGGCAAGCCAACGUCAGGAUGAGGGUCAAUGGCCCAUGAUGCAAUCGAUGACCUUAGCAUCCUUGAUGUUUGAACAAGCUCUCAGCACUCCACAGUGCCUGCCUGCUUCAGCUGCUUUCAUGGACACUGGAAGAUUUUCUCAUCAGUCCAUUCCACUGGGUGGUCUUCAUAUGCUUGGUGUAGACCCUAGAUCACCAAUAGGUUUAAAGCCUCCUUCAGUCUGAUUUAGCCGGCCUGCUGAGAUGGUUUACCAGGCUGUGGCUACUGCUUAUGCUACAGAUUCUUGGAGCUACAGGGGAGAGUUGGAAGAAAGUUGGAAAGUUGGAAGAAGGUGGACACCAAAGAUGAGGAAACCGAGGCAAACAGGGUUAAGUGACUUGGCCAGGAUCAUGCAGCUAACUGAAGCCAGAUUUGAACUGAGGAAGAUGAGUCUUCCUAACUUUGAGUCUGACACUAUCCACUGUACCACCGAGAUGUCCUUUUCCCAUAACACCAAACCGGUCAUAACAGAAGGAGGCAUGAAUUAGGACAUCAACCGUAGAAGGCAUGAUGGACUCUUCCCACUGUUCUCAUGGUAGCCAGGCCCCAGACUAGAAUCUUAAGUCUGUUUCUGGACUCCACACCUGAAAAAAGACAUGGAAAAACUGAAAAGGUUCCAGAGAAGAGCUACAAAGAUAAUCACAGGAUUGAGAAAUCACAUCUGUGAGGGAACAUGAAAAGACUUGGGAUUAUUUUGCCCGGAGAAGAAACAGCUAAGAGGUGACUUAAUAAUAGUCUUCAAGUCCAAGAAGCAUUAUUACAUGGAACCAGAUAACCUGCUGCUCUCCUCUACUAAGGAAUGGAAAUGAGCUUGAUUUGGAAGCAAGAGGGAGGGAGAAAAAAGUGAUGGAACACUUCUGGGUGAGCUCAACCUAAUCAUUAUAAUUAUUGUUACUCACAGUUCCUUAGUACUUUAUAGUUUGCAA